GCUGAAGUGCAGUGGCGCAAUCUCGGCUCACUGCAACCUCUGCCUCCCGGGUUCACGCCAUUCUCCUGCUUCAGCCUCCCGAAUAGCUGGGACUACAGGAGCCCGCCACCAUGCCCGGCUAAUUUUUUGUAUUUUUAGUAGAGACGGGGUUUCACCAUGUUAGAUAGAUUCUCACUCUGUUGCCCAGGCUGGAGUGCAGUGGCACGAUCUCAGCAUCUCAGCUCACUGCUUCCUCCGCCUCCCAGGUUCAAGCGAUUCUCCUGCCUCAGCCUCUCAAGUAGCUGAGACUAGAGGCGGGCACCACCAUGCCUGGCUAAUUUUCAUAUUUUUAGCGGAGACGGGGUUUCUCCAUGUUGGCCAGGCUGGUCUUGAACUCCUGAUCUCCAGUGAGCCACCCACCUUGGCCUCCAAUGUGCUGGGAUCACCAGUGUGAGCCACCAUGCCCAGCUGAAGAUAAGUCUCUUAAAGUCUUACAGCAAUACAGGAUUAAACCAAGAAUUGAACCCGGGCAGCAGGAUCUCUGAUCCUGCGUUUCUAACCGCAACACAGAUCACCAUUCAUUGCAGAGAUGUUACAUUCACCUUGGAAAAAAGGAGAAAGGAAGAAAAAUGACACUCAGAUUAUUCACCCAAAUAAAAAUCAUAUUCACGUUUACUCUGAUCUGUUUCCUACAGUGAUUUUCUUUCCAGAACUCCAGAUCUAGACAUAGACCCCUGUAACUGAUGUAGUUGCCUGGUUUAUGAACGGAUUCACAAUAGGUGGCCAAGCAUUUCCACAUAAGCAAUGGAGAGUGCUCACUUUUCAGAGAGCCUCCAGAAAAGGGAGAAAGCUUUCUUCAGACCCAGUGGCCAGGGCGCUUUGCAAUAGUGCAGAAUUCGACACACAAAGAUCGCUAUUAUGGAUGGACAAGGAGCAGCCAAGAGAAGAAAAGGGGCAGAUCUGUGACUCAAGCGGCAGCCCUUGCAAUGGGAAUAAUCCUCAUCCUCCACGUGUGCUGUGUGUGAUACAGGCUUCCCAGGAAGGGCACUGGCCAAGCCCCUGCUCCACCGAAGGGGACUGUAGCUUUGCUUCACUCUCCCUCCCUGCUUAAUCACUGGCUCAAAUGACAAUCCACCCCAGGCAAACGAUGCUCACACAGAGAAAAGGACAGCCAGGCCAAGAACAAAUUUUUCUAAAAGUUUUCUUUUUUUUUUUCUACAUCAUCUCAACCUUCCUUUUUAAAUAAAUGGACUUGCAAAUAGACCUAACUUCAAAGAUCUCAUUGGUCGGCCUUCACUGUUUAGGUAUCCGGGCAGGGAACCAUUCAAGAUAUUAUUCUUAUUUUUUUUAAAUCUUCUUUUUCUAUCUUUUCAAUAGCAUCUGGAUGAUCUUUCCAUUCUUGUCUAGUGAUAAUGAAAUCAUUAAAAAAUGUACCAGAACCCUUUUUGCUUAUCUCUGUGCCAUUUGGAACAUAUGUGAAUAAAUUGAACACCACUUGCUCAUUGAUUUUCUUUUUUUUCCCUCUUCCCUUGUUUUUAAAAGCCCUGUUUGAAAUCAGUCACUGAAAGAGCCGGCAUCUGAGUUAACGUCUGACGAUGGGAGGUACGCCUCAACGUCGUCCACAUGGCCUUGAUCUAGACAGCGAGCCACAACCUACCCAGCACAUUUUUGUGGCUUAAGUGACCUGGAGUGUGGGGCUUUUCUUUGUUGAAGAUUUUCUUUAGGUUUCAAGUUGAUUUUACACCAUUAAUGGUAAUUCCAGCUUGGGCAUUGCACAAAUAGUUCAUAGAUGACCAUGGGGAAUCCAGCUAUGCUGUUGGGACUAGUAGCUAAACUCUCUUAGAGGGCUUGAGUUAGAUCAAAGAGCAUCUUUCCUUUUCUUGGAAACCACAUUGCCAGCCUUUUCCAGCCAAAGGCCUGCUUGUGUUAAGUGAGAAGAGAGAGACUCAUCCCAAAAGAGGCCGCCCUGGAAGAGAUGGGAAAGACUUUUCCAGGAGGAGUUUGCUGAAAAGCAUAAAAGGGUCAGCCUCCAGCUUAUCACUCAAAAAAGUUUUUAAAGCCUUUUUAAGGAAACAAUUUUAACCCAGCUGCACUUAUUGAUCAGUGAUUUGAUUUUGCUUUGUUAGGAGAGACUCGUAAUCUGCUUUUAAAUGUCUUUUGUUCCUGGCCUUCUUUGAUAGCAAGUUCUGCCUAAGGCUACUUCUCAAAACUCAUCACUGGAGUUUUCAAGUCUAUGUGAAUAACUAGAAUAAUUUUAAUCUGGACCUUUCUUUAUCCCCUACUACCUACCCACUCCUGUUUGCAGCAGAAAAUGUUAGGUGGUUGUAAGAAUUUUUUUUUAAUCAAAUUCUGCCAAACCUAAAACCUAUAAAAAGGAAUCAUUUGUCCUUUCAAAGAGAGAGAGAAAGCAAGGGAGCAAACUCUAUUUACAAAGUCAGAGGGAGUCAAUCUGAUUUUAUUUUCUCAAGUACAUUCAGUGAGUCUCAAAAAGAAUGCAAGUUCUCAAGUCUUGCCUCUGCUUGGUAUCAGCCACAAUUAAAAAAUAAAUUUCAGAAAUAUAUCUGAAUCACUGUAGAACAUAAUUUUUUGGCAACAGAUAGGUUUUAUAGAAGCUUUUUUACUUGUAACUUUCAAAGGUUGUAAUCAUGCCUUUCAUGACAUUGUGAACUAUAAUUUUGUCUUGCUAAGCUACCAUAAAAGAGUGGUUGUUUUAUUAUUAUAGUAUGCACUAAAAAACAGAACCUAUGCUCCUCAUUUAACUAAUCACUUCUGAUAUUUCUCAAGCUAAUGGGAACCAAAAACACUUAUAUCUGUUCGUAGAUGUUCUUAAUGAAAUGCACACUUUUUUUAUAAUGUAAGCAUAUGCGUACACAUGUAUGAACUUUACAAGUUUAUUUAGCAAGAAAACAAAUAUGUGAGGAAAACAGACUUUUCAAGUGGUGCUUUAAUUGUCGUUCAUGCAUGUUCUACAGAUCAUUACUGAAUGUUUACAGGUCCUGCACGGAAUGACUUUACACCAAAGAAGAGGGUAACGUAUCCUCACUGUUUAUAAAAAUGACAGCCCCUAAUGGACCAUAUUAGCUUUAACACAAACUAUUAAAUCU
ensembl:lncRNA novel transcript